rnacentral:rRNA from 1 species
CGCAGCCUGAUGCAGCGACGCCGCGUGAGGGAUGAAGGCCUUCGGGUUGUAAACCUCUUUCAGCAGGGAAGAAGCGAAAGUGACGGUACCUGCAGAAGAAGCGCCGGCUAACUACGUGCCAGCAGCCGCGGUAAUACGUAGGGCGCAAGCGUUGUCCGGAAUUAUUGGGCGUAAAGAGCUCGUAGGCGGUUUGUCGCGUCUGCUGUGAAAACCUGAGGCUCAACCUCGGGCUUGCAGUGGGUACGGGCAGACUAGAGUGCGGUAGGGGUGACUGGAAUUCCUGGUGUAGCGGUGGAAUGCGCAGAUAUCAGGAGGAACACCGAUGGCGAAGGCAGGUCACUGGGCCGCAACUGACGCUGAGGAGCGAAAGCAUGGGGAGCGAACAGGAUUAGAUACCCUGGUAGUCCAUGCCGUAAACGUUGGGCACUAGGUGUGGGGCUCAUUCCACGAGUUCCGUGCCGCAGCAAACGCAUUAAGUGCCCCGCCUGGGGAGUACGGCCGCAAGGCUAAA